rnacentral:rRNA from 1 species
GACGAACGCUGGCGGCGUGCCUAAUACAUGCAAGUCGAACGCUGAAGAGAGGAGCUUGCUCUUCUUGGAUGAGUUGCGAACGGGUGAGUAACGCGUAGGUAACCUGCCUGGUAGCGGGGGAUAACUAUUGGAAACGAUAGCUAAUACCGCAUAAAAUUGAUUAUUGCAUGAUAAUUAAUUGAAAGAUGCAACUGCAUCACUACCAGAUGGACCUGCGUUGUAUUAGCUAGUUGGUGAGGUAACGGCUCACCAAGGCGACGAUACAUAGCCGACCUGAGAGGGUGAUCGGCCACACUGGGACUGAGACACGGCCCAGACUCCUACGGGAGGCAGCAGUAGGGAAUCUUCGGCAAUGGGGGGAACCCUGACCGAGCAACGCCGCGGGAGUGAAGAAGGUUUUCGGAUCGUAAAGCUCUGUUGUAAGAGAAGAACGGGUGUGAGAGUGGAAAGUUCACACUGUGACGGUAGCUUACCAGAAAGGGACGGCUAACUACGUG